AUGAGGUCGUACUCAUUAUGGGUUGGCCCUAAAUCCAAUGCCUGUGUCUUUACAAGAGGAGAAGACACAGAGAGACAGACACAGAGAGGGAAGACAGCCGUGUGACUGGAGUGACGCAGCUACAAGCCCAGGAGCGCCGGGGAUCGCUGACAACCAGCACGAGCCGGAAGAGGGAGCCGCAGACGCUGAUCAGACCCCGGCUUUAUGAAAAGUGGUAACCAGCUCCGCUUCUGGGCGGUGUCCAGCGCCACCGAGCCUGCCCACGGGAGUCAAAAAAGAACUGAUGUGGCCCUAAAGGAAUUCGCCAUCUAGAAGCAGAAAGAGACACAGCAGCAAAGAAAAGGCGGAUGGCCGUGUGAUCUGAUGAAGACGGCACAGGCACCCAAGAUCCGACCCACCCAAGAUCCCGAGGGAAGUGCAUGGAGGACGUUCUCCGACAUCAUCAUCCCCACUCUACAGACAGAGAGAUGAAGGCUUGGAACAGCCGGGGCCUCCCCCCAAGGAAGGGCCCCCCAGCUGGGAUUCAAGCCCGGCAGUGUCCUCUGUCUUCUGCACCCUUAACCCCCGCCCUGAGGCAGUGCUGACUCACAGGGCUAUUCGGUCAUUUCCCCACUAUCCCCCACGAACUCCCCGAAGCCAGUGUGCUUUCUCCAGAUGCUCUAUGUCUAUUGUUUUAUUCCACAGGUAUUUAUUGGGUGUCUUUUAUAUGCCCAGCUCUGUGCUAGCAGACCCGACACACCCGUAAACAAGCAAAACAGGAAGCUCGCACCCAGUGAGACAGACAGAGACAGACACACAUAACAACAAGAGAGCUCUACGUGACGGCAGGUUCCAUGGAGGAAGCAAAAUGGGGGUGUGUGGAGGAGGAUGGCAACCUCAAGUUUUGUUUAGUGAAGACCUUUCUGAGGAGGUAACAUUGAGUUUAUCAUUUUAACUGAUAAUUUUGGACGUUUCUAAGUGCGCGCACACACACAGAAUACUUCAUGAACCCCACGUAUCAAUCACUCAGCACUGAUCCUGCAAUCCUUAUUUGGAAGCAAUGUAAGCAUAAAUAAAUAAACAGAAUACUCUACAGCUGCAGUCCCCAGUGCCCAGGCUGCAGGCAGGGAUGG